GUUAGACGCAUAAUGAAAAUGCCUUUUCUACUAAAAGCAUCUAUUAAAAAGGAGGAAGAUGAAACAUGAUAUCUAAUUAAUUAUUUUGUCUUAAUAACCUUUGAUUCCGUUUUUUAAAGUUGGAAAAUGCAAGGCUUAGAAAACUACUGUUUUCUGGAUCCAUGAACUGAAUUGCAUGCUUGGAAAGCAAGUGCAUUAUGACUCCCUUUCAUCUGUAUCUGGGUUGCUCAAGGGCCAGAGGUGGCCAACAGAAGGACAAGUUAACAUUACUCUGUGAGACUUUUUCAGCCCCAUUGAACAAGUAAAUAGGGGAAGUUUUUGAUGAAGAUUUGGCCCUGGCAUGAAGGACAAGGGUCCCACGGAUCUUGGAAACCCUAAUGGACUGGACUGAAGACCUCUUUUUGAGCAGCUCAAGAGAACAACGAAGCCACAGGCCGGUGAGUUUUGGCAACUCUGCCACAAACCAAACCACAGAAGCAUGUAGCCCUCCAACGCACACGAUUAUGGUCGAGGUUGCUUUGUAAUUGUUAACUAUGAGAAUUGGUGAAACGCUUUCAUUUUUCACCAUUGAAGUGAAUGCUGAAUGAAGAUCCUCUGCUGAUUCACAUUUUGCAAGGACUGGGAUGUUUGUUUGUGGAAACGAGAAAGGGCGGCUGGUUCGCUGACAGUUUAGGUGAGAACAAGGCAUGUUGAGCCAUCUGUUUUGCUACCUCACCACAAGAAAAAAGGGACACUCUCCUCGGAGAACAUGUGCUACUAGAUACAUCUUUCCAGGUGCUCAGUGGUAAAGAAUCCACCUGUCAAUGCAGGAGACGCAAGAGACAUGGGUUUGAUCCUUGAGUCAGGAAGACCCCCUGCAGGUGGAAAUGGAAACCCACUCCAGUAUUCUUGCCUGGAAAAUUCCAUGGAGAGAGGAGCCUGGUGGACUACAGUCCACGGAGUUGCAAAGAGUCUGAUGUGACUGAGCACGUAAAGAUGAAUACUUUUUCUUUUUGUUUGUUUGCCAUGCCAUGAGGCGUCUGGGAUCUUAGUUCCCCAACCAGGGAUCAAACCUGUGCCCCCAGAACUGAAAGUGUGGAGUCUUAACCACUAGACUGCCAGGGAAGUUUCAAAUACCUUUUGAGGAGCUCCACAUGGAGCUAGCCUGUGGACUUCAAUGAGUUCUUGGACAAUCAGGUAUUACUCACUUCCAAAGCCAGUUCACUCAGACCUGUAUACAAAAGGGCUUCUUCUGGGAAAUAGCAACCUCAAGCACGCAGAGGAAGAUUUCAAGGACUUGUGUUUCUGAAGUAGUUAUCUUCAAGCCAGUCAAUGUGUAGGAAAAAAUAUAUGUUACAUUCCAUUCUAGAAACUUCCAUCUAAAGCCACCACUCUGCAUUCCCUGUCACUCCUCCACAGUCUGGUCUUGCCGAAGAAAGCUUAGUCUGUAGAGGUAAGAAAUAAGGGAGAAAAAGGGAGAUAAAUAAGGUACUCUCUUAUUCCUACU
rnacentral:lncRNA from 1 species